GGGGGGGACCCGGGCAAUGGGGGCUUGCGAACCUGGUCAGGCCGGGAACGGAGCAGCCAUAAGCAUCGCCUUCAUGUGCCCGGGAGAACCUCCCCGGC
rnacentral:SRP_RNA from 1 species